CUGCGGAGGGAUCAUUACCGAGUUUACAACUCCCAAACCCCUGUGAACAUACCACUUGUUGCCUCGGCGGAUCAGCCCGCUCCCGGUAAAACGGGACGGCCCGCCAGAGGACCCCUAAACUCUGUUUCUAUAUGUAACUUCUGAGUAAAACCAUAAAUAAAUCAAAACUUUCAACAACGGAUCUCUUGGUUCUGGCAUCGAUGAAGAACGCAGCAAAAUGCGAUAAGUAAUGUGAAUUGCAGAAUUCAGUGAAUCAUCGAAUCUUUGAACGCACAUUGCGCCCGCCAGUAUUCUGGCGGGCAUGCCUGUUCGAGCGUCAUUUCAACCCUCAAGCACAGCUUGGUGUUGGGACUCGCGUUAAUUCGCGUUCCCCAAAUUGAUUGGCGGUCACGUCGAGCUUCCAUAGCGUAGUAGUAAAACCCUCGUUACUGGUAAUCGUCGCGGCCACGCCGUUAAACCCCAACUUCUGAAUGUGACCUCGGAUCA
rnacentral:rRNA from 1 species